CCUGCAGCCGGCUGAUGUACCUCCCUGAUGUCUGUGUAGGUAGGGAACGUGUGACGAGAACAAGAAGCCUGAAAGCAUGCAGAAUCCUUAAGGAAAAACCUCUUUUUAGGCAUUUUUGAAACUUGCCAAAGCAAGGGACUUGUCCAGCCCAGCUUCCCCGCUCCUGCUGGCUCCUGAGGCUCAGAGACCUUGGCCACCGCCCACCUGCCCAGGCCCUGCAGCGUUUCCACGGCUCAGCCAUGGCCCUGCUGCUCCUCCUCGUGCUUGAGGGGAUUUUUGCCCUUGGAGGAACCGGGGCCCAGACAGUGACCCAGCCUGACCUUCACGUCACUGUCAUUGAAAGAGCCUCUCUGGAGCUGAAGUGCAACUACGCAGUUUCUUAUACACCAACUCUCUGGUGGUACGUGCAAUAUCCCAACCGAGGACUCCAGCUUCUCCUGAAGUACGUAUCAGGGAGCACUCUGGUUAAAGGCAUCCAAGGUUUCGAGGCUGAAUUUAGGAAGAGUGAAACCUCUUUCCACCUGAAGAAAGCCUCAGCCCAUUUGAGCGACUCGGCCCAGUACUUCUGUGCUGUGAGUGACACAGUGCCUGGGACUGCCGGGGGAGCUGAACACAAACCUCCUGACAUACUGGGACUUCCUGUGACUCAAGAACUCAGUGUUGAAGUCUAUUUUAUAAUAUUAAAAAAUCGUUUCAACUUUCUGAUGUUUACUCAUGUGUGCCAUAUCUUUUUCAUCUAUUUAUUUUUAAUGUAUUUGUGACUUUAA